ACACCAGUGGCUACUCCCACUUGCACUAGGAGCGCUGUGACACCCCAACUUGUGGGGCAGAGGUCAGGCCCAGAGUGCUGAAGUGCUGAAGCUCCUGUAGAAGGUCCUUCCAUGUGUCUUUCAGAUCCUGGGCUUGGCCUUCUCCAUAACCAUCACCCAGCACAUCCACUGGACUGGGUCUUGCUCUGUCAUCCAGACUGGAGUACAGUGGUGCAACCACGGCUCACUGCAGCCUUGAACUCCUGGGCUCAAGCAAUCCUCCUACCUCAGCCUCCAUAGCAGUCGGGACCACAGGUAUGUGCCACCAUGCCCGGCCAAUUUUGUUUAUUUUUUUGUAGAGGCGGGGUCUCCCUAUGUUGCCCAGGCUAGAACUCCUGGACUCAAGCAAUCCUCCCACCUCAGCUUCCCAAAGUGUUGGGAUUACAGACGUGAGCCAACACGCCUAACUUAGUUACAAUAUUUUAAACUUACGAUGUAUUUAUCAAGAUGUAGCCCCAUCAUAUGUUGAGGAGCAUCUGUAUAUUCUCAAUAUAUUUCUUUUCUCUGGCGAGACCCCAGUUCCUAA
rnacentral:lncRNA from 1 species